rnacentral:tRNA from 1 species
GCCUCUUUAGCUCAGUGGCAGAGUACUGGUCUUGUAAACCAGGGGUCGUGAGUUCAAUCCUCAAAGAAGGCA